CGGUUUCCCAGUCGCCGUGAGACAGAUUGGGGAGAAUGGCUGCCAGUGGAGAUAUAGGAAAGCUGUUACAAGUACAGAAUGGGACUCCAGCAAGCACAAGCUACAAUGGGGUAGAUGCCCUACACGCCUGUAACAUUCUCCAGCAGCUUAAAGUCUUGUACGACGAAGCUCAGCUGACUGACAUUGUCGUGGAAGUGGACCAUGGCAAGACAUUCUCUUGUCACAGAAAUGUCCUCGCUGCCAUCAGCCCAUACUUCAGAUCCAUGUUCACAAGUGGCCUUACAGAGAGCAGUCAGCGGGAGGUGCGGAUUGUUGGUGUUGAAUCAGAGUCCAUGCAUUUGGUUCUGGACUAUGCUUACACCUCACGUGUCACUCUUACAGAGUCUAACGUGCAGGCACUGUUCACCGCUGCCAGCAUCUUCCAGAUCCCAGCCCUCCAAGACCAAUGUGCCCAGUUCAUGAUCAGCCGUUUGGACCCUCAGAACUGCAUUGGGGUCUUCAUGUUCGCAGAUGCUUAUGGCCACCAGGAGUUGUGGGAGCGCUCGCAGGAUUACAUCCGCAAGAAGUUCCUGUGCGUGAUGGGAGAGCAGGAGUUCCUUCAUCUGACCAAAGAACAGCUGGUCAGCAUUCUCAACAGUGAUGAUUUGAACGUGGAAAAAGAGGAGCACGUUUAUGAAAGCAUCGUGCACUGGUUGGAGUAUGACUGCUCACGUCGGGAGGCGGAUUUACCUGAGGUUUUUGCCAAAUGCAUCCGCUUGCCCCUUCUGGAUGAGGCCUUUCUGAGCCGUAUACCCCCAGCCUUCGCCCUGGCCUUGUCCAGGGAUUCCUCGGAUAAGGGUCGGCUCAACGGCACCAAUGGCUGCCCACAGCGGCUGGGUAUGACUGCAUCAGAGAUGGUCAUCUGCUUCGACGCGGCUCACAAGCACUCAGGGAAGAAGCAGACCGUGCCUUGCCUGGACAUUGCUGCCGGGAAGGUGUACAAGCUGUGCAAACCUCCCAAUGACCUCAGAGAGGUUGGCAUUUUGGUCUCAUCAGAGAAUGACAUCUUCAUUGCCGGAGGCUAUCGGCCGAGCAAUAGUGAGGUGUGCAUCGACCAUCGUGCAGAGAGUGACUUCUGGCAGUAUGAACAUGCUGGCAAUAGGUGGCUCCCACGAUCACCCAUGUUGCGGGCGCGCAUCGGUUGCAAGCUAGUACACUGCUACGGGAAACUCUACGCUCUGGGUGGUCGAGUGUAUGAAGGGGAUGGACGAAAUGCUUUGAAAUCUGUGGAGUGCUAUGAUGCCAGAGACAACUGCUGGACAGCGAUCAGUCCCAUGCCAGUGGCCAUGGAGUUCCACAGCACAGUAGAGUAUAAGGACCGCAUCUAUGUGCUGCAAGGAGAAUUCUUCUUCUGUUUUGACCCCCGCAAAGACUAUUGGGGGCAUUUACCGUCUAUGAACGUUCCCCGCACUCAAGGCUUGGCGGCCCUGUACAAAAACUGCAUCUACUACAUAGCAGGCAUCUGCAGGAACCACCAGCGCACGUUUACCGUCGAGGUGUACGACAUCGAGCAGAACACCUGGUGCCGUAAAAGAGACCUCCCCUUCGACCAAGCGACCAGCCCCUACAUCAAGGUGCUUCUGCUUCAGGGCAGAUUGCAUCUGUUUGUUCGAGCCACGCAAGUCAUGGUAGAAGAACACGUGUUCCGUACCAGCCGCAAGAACUCCCUCUACCAGUAUGACGAUGAAGCCGACCAAUGGACAAAGGUCUAUGAGACGCCGGACCGCCUCUGGGACCUCGGCCGCCAUUUUGAGUGCGUGGUUGCCAAACUAUACCCUCAGUGUCUUCAGAAAGUGCUGUGAGUUCAAGGAGAGGUUAAGAUCAUAAUGCAAUGUGCUGUUUGAGACAGCUGAUUAAUGUUUUUGGAGAAGGGGAUGGUGGUACUGCUCAAUACAUGGUGCUGUUUGUGUCCCCAACACCAGAACUGCAGGGGAAGUCUUAAAGCGUUAAAGGUUUCAAUCAAUAAACUCGGGUGCUGUUUGAAAAAGUAAAAAAAAAAAAAAAAACGCAGUAUUUUAUGUUUGACAAUUGUGCGCACAGUGCCCACAGAAUCGCUUGUUUUACAGUUAGAAAAGUGAAUCAUAAGUGCAAUUAAUCUUUUUUUUUUGCAGAUGUUGAGACGUUUCUGCUCCAUUAUAUCUUUAAAGGUUUUGUUGCUGUUUUGGCUUGGGUUGUUGGCAUGCAUAGUUGGCGAACAUGUACAGUUAAUGUUCUUAAGGACAAGCAGUAUGUCAACAGUUGAGUAAAACAAGAAAAGAAUAAUUGGUGAAAAAUAAAUGUAUAAAGCUAUAAAUAUUCAUACGGGUAUGAUGAGCGUUUUUGCUCAGUGUGAAUACUGAAUUUUUAAAUGGUAAUUUCUUUCAGGUUUUCAGAUGAGUAAGUUGAUCCAUGCCACCUACAAAAAGACUUUCUGUGGUUUGCUUAAGAAUUUCGUUAGAGAAUUUUGAUUAUUAAUGGAAAGUAAUUCGUUUGCCAAGAUGCGCACACAGGUUUUAAUCUUUGAUUUUUCUUUUUCCUUUUUAAGUCAACCCAUGUGCUAUAACAUAACAGCAGUUUUUAAUUUUCAUUUUAGACUCUGCUUUUAUGAUGUUUCGUUCAUCCCAGCUACCAAAUCAAAAUCUUUAUCUUUGCAAUUUCGCAUCACCAGCCAGAUCUUUAGUGAGGUUACAAGAUUUUACCUUUAGAAGUCUCCAUAUUGGAGAAGAAAAAAGGAUACUAGCUUUACGUGUAGCUGAAAUCAAAAGUGGGCAAUUUGUUGACAGCCAAAACUGCUCCGAUCAGGAGAGGACAUCGAUAGGGUUGGCGAAGAGGUGGCCAAAAUGUGGAUGCCUGCAUUCCACUGUCAUUUACUGACUCCUCGUAUCUGAAACCUACAAGUGCAGUUUGAAGAAGGAUGCCUCCAAAAUGCCAAAACGUGUUCUAGGAGUCUUAGCCUGCACCCCAUGGCAGCAAUAACAGGUGUUCUGUCAUUGUUCUUUAGACAAAGUACAAUAGAAAUUUAAGUGAUGUUUUCAUGAAUAAUUCCAGAAAAAUGGCCUUUGUUUUGCUAUCAUGGGUUGGUUAACGUUCAGUGAGAUGUUGCUAUCAGGGGUGACAGUGCCUGUUCACAUGAAAAGCCCAGGCAUCAGUGAUGGAGUGAACAAAGCCGAUAUGAAGUCCGAUAUAGUACAGUUUGCUUCUGCACUAAGGUGCUUUGACUUUAGGAAAGGUCAGUUUUGCAAAUGUCCAGUCCUCCUGUACUAGCGUUUCCUGCAAAUGAACACUUUCUUUAUUUCUUUCCAUCCCCUUAUCUUCCAGUCUUGAACUAUGGAGAAGAAGAAUUGUUUUUGGUGCAGCUUUUUUGACAAUCUUAUACAGAAGAUACAGUGAUUUUACAGCCAUUUGUCAUUGCUUGACACUUCCAAAAGUUGUCAGUCUUAUAAGUUAUUGUCGCUCGACGUUUGUUUUGGUUUUCCAGCCUCAAGUUUAUUUCGUCAUGCAGGUUUCUGAUUUUGCACUACAUUAUUUCCUCCCUUGAAAGCGUCUCAGAAUACAGCGCUAUGUUUUCAGACACAGAGACUGAGGACGUGGUAAACUGCGUCUUUAAAUAGGACAGCUGAUGGCUCUUUGGUGCCUGCGAGGGCGAGCUUCAUCUGGGGCUUUGGUGAAGGGUGAGGGAUGAGAAAUUGCGUUGGCUUUGGUGCAGUUGCACAUUUCCCAUAUUUACACUCAGUAGCACGGGAACCAGAAAUGGACACUUCUCAGGAUUAUUGUCGAUACACAGUACUGUAUUUAAAUGGUUUGUUGUACGUGUAAUAUACUGUACCAUAUGUUUGCUGUACUUGCACAGUUUUGUUUUUUUUUUUUUCCUCCUUUUAGAUGGGUG